AAUUCCUGCUACACAGAACGGCAAAGAUAAAACCAUUGCUUUGAGCUCCUUUCUGGCAGUGUGUCAGACGAUUGAAACAACACGAAGCAUCGCCGUUACUAUUGACAACGCAUUUCAGCGGCAGUUGUAAGGGAGUAAGGCACUUUUCUGGGAUUUUCCAUUCCAUCUUCAACCUUCCCGUUGAACCCACACACCGCCGGAGAGAAAACGGCAAGAAAAUAAAUCACCAUUCGCGUACUAGCAACCAGAGCAAUCGAGAGGACGCUUUAACGAUGGACGCAGCACCCCAUCUCACAGAUUCGAGUAUCGUGGCCCCCCCCCCCCCCCCCCCCCCUUCUGUACUGCCGGUUGGAUAGGCUAACCCGGGGCACGCAGUGGCUCGCACUUCGAACGCGCUCUGAUUUCGCUGAUUGGACAGCUUAGAAAAGUUUGGGUCUGAAGUGAUUCAGCACUCUCUACAGUGCAUGGCGAGCACCGUUCAACAACAACAACAAAAAUCAUCCUUCACUUUGCAUAUCAAUCAAAUCCAUCGUUCGCACGAAUCUGUAAACAAUGCUCUUCACGCUUCGCAACACUUGAAAGGAACAACAACAACCAACAAAAAAAAUCACCAAAACUGUAUGCUGAGUUGGGGGGGCUACUGAAGUUAAACUUUUCCCACCGGUGGGAGUAGAAGAAUUUUUAACUUCUUCAGCAUUCUCCCCCACCCAAUGAUUGUGAUGCUGAUUAGGACGGUGUACGAGUUCUGUGUCGAUCAUUACCAGGCGCAGCACGCCCUUAUUUCGCACGGCCAAGCGGAGUUGAAGCGAAAGGGAAAACUUUAAAGCUGUUCCCCACUGGAAACAGAAUGCAACCGUCACUACCAGACCGACCACACGAUGGACACAUGCUACGCUAGCGACAGAGAGCGCGCGCAAAAGUGAAAAUUCGCGGCCAGUGCCCGAGGUUUCCGCCUGGAUGCACCCAUCAAAACUUCCCACUCAUCAAUAUCAUCACCGGGGGGUGUAUCUUGGUAUACACCUCCGGUGACCCUCGUUGCGCGCGUGUGUAUGUUUGUGUGGGGUAGUUUUCUUCCCUUCUCAUCCUUUGCCGCGGGAAAGAAACGUCAGAUCCACCCAGUUAGCAACCGAUGCCGGGCAGAAUAGAACAUUUUGCUCUCCAUAGCAACCAACUUUGCUCCGUUUUGCAGCUCUCCUCACUUUGCUGCGGGUGGAAAUGAUUCACUCGGACGAUCAAAGUAAGCGGAGGAGUAGGGUGAGCGUCAAUACACACAGAAUUGCCCGGUGUAAAUAAAUUUGUUGUUUACCGAAAUCAAUUCGAACAGAAAUUUUUGGCGUCUCCCUACACAGUGGACAUACCUAAAAAAAGGAAGAAAAAAAACGAACGCAAACUUUUCCACCCGAAGCUCUUUUAAUUUUCGUUUCCUCCCCCCCCCCCAAUUUCGGACGGCAUUCCAACCUCAACCUCACUUAGAGAAGAAGAACUAACGAAUGUGCCGUCUUAAAAAAUACAUUUCCUCCUACCGCAAUGAAUUCGUUCGUUUUCUGGCUUUGUUCGCGUGCUGUCUGCACAGUGUAUCACUUGGUUUUUUGCUAUCGUACAUGAGAUGCAAAUGAAAUUAAAAAUUUGAGCUCUAAUAAAGUACAAUAAAAGAAAGAGAGAAACAAAACAUCCCCGUAAAGUAGCUACUAGUGAACGCAUACACACAACAUACAAACGGG